rnacentral:rRNA from 1 species
GCAGCACGGGAGCUUGCUCCUGGUGGCGAGUGGCGAACGGGUGAGUAACACAUCGGAACAUGCCUAGUCGUGGGGGAUACCGUAGCGAAAGUUACGUUAAUACCGCAUACGUCCUGAGGGAGAAAGCAGGGGAUUCGCAAGAACCUUGCGCGAUUAGAGUGGCCGAUGCCUGAUUAGCUAGUUGGUGGGGUAAAGGCCUACCAAGGCGACGAUCAGUAGCGGGUCUGAGAGGAUGAUCCGCCACACUGGAACUGAGACACGGUCCAGACUCCUACGGGAGGCAGCAGUGGGGAAUUUUGGACAAUGGGGGCAACCCUGAUCCAGCCAUUCCGCGUGAGUGAAGAAGGCCUUCGGGUUGUAAAGCUCUUUCAGCGGGAACGAAACGGUACGCGCUAAUAUCGUGUGCUAAUGACGGUACCCGCAGAAGAAGCACCGGCUAACUACGUGCCAGCAGCCGCGGUAAUACGUAGGGUGCGAGCGUUAAUCGGAAUUACUGGGCGUAAAGCGUGCGCAGGCGGAUUGUUAAGCAAGAUGUGAAAUCCCCGGGCUUAACCUGGGAAUGGCAUUUUGAACUGGCAAUCUAGAGUGUGUCAGAGGGGGGUAGAAUUCCACGUGUAGCAGUGAAAUGCGUAGAGAUGUGGAGGAAUACCGAUGGCGAAGGCAGCCCCCUGGGAUAACACUGACGCUCAUGUACGAAAGCGUGGGUAGCAAACAGGAUUAGAUACCCUGGUAGUCCACGCCCUAAACGAUGUCAACUGGUUGUUGGGAGAGUGAAAUCUCUUAGUAACGAAGCUAACGCGUGAAGUUGACCGCCUGGGGAGUACGGUCGCAAGAUUAAAACUCAAAGGAAUUGACGGGGANCCGCACAAGCGGUGGAUGAUGUGGAUUAAUUCGAUGCAACGCGAAAAACCUUACCUACCC